AGAGUUUGAUCAUGGCUCAGGAUGAACGCUGGCGGCGUGCUUAACACAUGCAAGUCGAACGGGCUCAUAUUGAAACCUAGUGAUGUAUGAGUUAGUGGCGGACGGGUGAGUAACGCGUGGAGAACCUGCCGUAUACUGGGGGAUAACACUUAGAAAUAGGUGCUAAUACCGCAUAAGCGCACAGCUUCGCAUGAAGCAGUGUGAAAAACUCCGGUGGUAUACGAUGGAUCCGCGUCUGAUUAGCUGGUUGGCGGGGUAACAGCCCACCAAGGCGACGAUCAGUAGCCGGCCUGAGAGGGUGAACGGCCACAUUGGGACUGAGACACGGCCCAAACUCCUACGGGAGGCAGCAGUGGGGAAUAUUGCACAAUGGGGGAAACCCUGAUGCAGCGACGCCGCGUGAGUGAAGAAGUAUUUCGGUAUGUAAAGCUCUAUCAGCAGGGAAGAAAAUGACGGUACCUGACUAAGAAGCCCCGGCUAACUA
rnacentral:rRNA from 1 species